UACGUAGGGGGCGAGCGUUGUCCGGAUUUAUUGGGCGUAAAGAGCGCGCAGGCGGUCGUAUAAGUCGAAUGUGAAAGCCCCUGGCUCAACUAGGGAGAGUCAUUCGAUACUGUUCGACUCGAAGGCAGGAGAGGGAAGUGGAAUUCCGGGUGUAGUGGUGAAAUGCGUAGAUAUCCGGAGGAACACCAGUGGCGAAGGCGACUUUCUGGCCUGUUCUUGACGCUGAGGCGCGAAAGCUAGGGGAGCAAACGGG
rnacentral:rRNA from 1 species